rnacentral:rRNA from 1 species
CUACGGAGGGGGUUAGCGUUGUUCGGAAUUACUGGGCGUAAAGCGUACGUAGGCGGACUAGUAAGUGAGGGGUGAAAUCCCAGGGCUCAACCCUGGAACUGCCUUUCAUACUGCUAGUCUUGAGGUCGAGAGAGGUGAGUGGAAUUCCGAGUGUAGAGGUGAAAUUCGCAGAUAUUCGGAGGAACACCAGUGGCGAAGGCGGCUCACUGGCUCGAUACUGACGCUGAGGUACGAAAGUGUGGGGAGCAAACAGGAUUAGAAACCCUAGUAGUCC